rnacentral:rRNA from 1 species
GUAAAAAGUAGAAUAAUAGAUUUGAAAUAUUUAUUAUAUAGAUUUAAAGAGAUAAUCAUGGAGUAUAAUAAUUAAAUUUAAUAAAUUUAAUAUAACUAUUAAUAGAAUUAGGUUACUAAUAAAUUAAUAACAAUUAAUUUUAAAACCUAAAGGUAAACCUUUAUAUUAAUAAUGUUAUUUUUUAUUAUAUUUAUAAUAAGAAUAAUUAUUAAUAAUAAUAAACUAAGUGAACUGAAACAUCUAAGUAACUUAAGGAUAAGAAAUCAACAGAGAUAUUAUGAGUAUUGGUGAGAGAAAAUAAUAAAGGUCUAAUAAGUAUUAUGUGAAAAAAAUGUAAGAAAAUAGGAUAACAAAUUCUAAGACUAAAUACUAUUAAUAAGUAUAGUAAGUACCGUAAGGGAAAGUAUGAAAAUGAUUAUUUUAUAAGCAAUCAUGAAUAUAUUAUAUUAUAUUAAUGAUGUACCUUUUGUAUAAUGGGUCAGCAAGUAAUUAAUAUUAGUAAAACAAUAAGUUAUAAAUAAAUAGAAUAAUAUAUAUAUAUAUAAAAAUAUAUUAAAAUAUUUAAUUAAUAUUAAUUGACCCGAAAGCAAACGAUCUAACUAUGAUAAGAUGGAUAAACGAUCGAACAGGUUGAUGUUGCAAUAUCAUCUGAUUAAUUGUGGUUAGUAGUGAAAGACAAAUCUGGUUUGCAGAUAGCUGGUUUUCUAUGAAAUAUAUGUAAGUAUAGCCUUUAUAAAUAAUAAUUAUUAUAUAAUAUUAUAUUAAUAUUAUAUAAAGAAUGGUACAGCAAUUAAUAUAUAUUAGGGAACUAUUAAAGUUUUAUUAAUAAUAUUAAAUCUCGAAAUAUUUAAUUAUAUAUAAUAAAGAGUCAGAUUAUGUGCGAUAAGGUAAAUAAUCUAAAGGGAAACAGCCCAGAUUAAGAUAUAAAGUUCCUAAUAAAUAAUAAGUGAAAUAAAUAUUAAAAUAUUAUAAUAUAAUCAGUUAAUGGGUUUGACAAUAACCAUUUUUUAAUGAACAUGUAACAAUGCACUGAUUUAUAAUAAAUAAAAAAAAAUAAUAUUUAAAAUCAAAUAUAUAUAUAUUUGUUAAUAGAUAAUAUACGGAUCUUAAUAAUAAAAAUUAUUUAAUUCCUAAUAUGGAAUAUUAUAUUUUUAUAAUAAAAAAUAUAAAUACUGAAUAUCUAAAUAUUAUUAUUACUUUUUUUUUUAAUAAUAAUAAUAUGGUAAUAGAACAUUUAAUGAUAAUAUAUAUUAGUUAUUAAUUAAUAUAUGUAUUAAUUAAAUAGAGAAUGCUGACAUGAGUAACGAAAAAAAGGUAUAAACCUUUUCACCUAAAACAUAAGGUUUAACUAUAAAAGUACGGCCCCUAAUUAAAUUAAUAAGAAUAUAAAUAUAUUUAAGAUGGGAUAAUCUAUAUUAAUAAAAAUUUUAUCUUAAAAUAUAUAUAUUAUUAAUAAUUAUAUUAAUAAUAUAUAUAAUUAUAUUAUAUAUUUUUUUUUUAUAUAAUAUAAACUAAUAAAGAUCAGGAAAUAAUUAAUGUAUACCGUAAUGUAGACCGACUCAGGUAUGUAAGUAGAGAAUAUGAAGGUGAAUUAGAUAAUUAAAGGGAAGGAACUCGGCAAAGAUAGCUCAUAAGUUAGUCAAUAAAGAGUAAUAAGAACAAAGUUGUACAACUGUUUACUAAAAACACCGCACUUUGCAGAAACGAUAAGUUUAAGUAUAAGGUGUGAACUCUGCUCCAUGCUUAAUAUAUAAAUAAAAUUAUUUAACGAUAAUUUAAUUAAAUUUAGGUAAAUAGCAGCCUUAUUAUGAGGGUUAUAAUGUAGCGAAAUUCCUUGGCCUAUAAUUGAGGUCCCGCAUGAAUGACGUAAUGAUACAACAACUGUCUCCCCUUUAAGCUAAGUGAAAUUGAAAUCGUAGUGAAGAUGCUAUGUACCUUCAGCAAGACGGAAAGACCCUAUGCAGCUUUACUGUAAUUAGAUAGAUCGAAUUAUUGUUUAUUAUAUUCAGCAUAUUAAGUAAUCCUAUUAUUAGGUAAUCGUUUAGAUAUUAAUGAGAUACUUAUUAUAAUAUAAUGAUAAUUCUAAUCUUAUAAAUAAUUAUUAUUAUUAUUAUUAAUAAUAAUAAUAUGCUUUCAAGCAUAGUGAUAAAACAUAUUUAUAUGAUAAUCACUUUACUUAAUAGAUAUAAUUCUUAAGUAAUAUAUAAUAUAUAUUUUAUAUAUAUUAUAUAUAAUAUAAGAGACAAUCUCUAAUUGGUAGUUUUGAUGGGGCGUCAUUAUCAGCAAAAGUAUCUGAAUAAGUCCAUAAAUAAAUAUAUAAAAUUAUUGAAUAAAAAAAAUAAUAUAUAUUAUAUAUAUUAAUUAUAAAUUGAAAUAUGUUUAUAUAAAUUUAUAUUUAUUGAAUAUAUUUUAGUAAUAGAUAAAAAUAUGUACAGUAAAAUUGUAAGGAAAACAAUAAUAACUUUCUCCUCUCUCGGUGGGGGUUCACACCUAUUUUUAAUAGGUGUUCACCCCUCUUCGGGGUUCCGGUUCCCUUUCGGGUCCCGGAACUUAAAUAAAAAUGGAAAGAAUUAAAUUAAUAUAAUGGUAUAACUGUGCGAUAAUUGUAACACAAACGAGUGAAACAAGUACGUAAGUAUGGCAUAAUGAACAAAUAACACUGAUUGUAAAGGUUAUUGAUAACGAAUAAAAGUUACGCUAGGGAUAACAGGGUAAUAUAGCGAAAGAGUAGAUAUUGUAAGCUAUGUUUGCCACCUCGAUGUCGACUCAACAUUUCCUCUUGGUUGUAAAAGCUAAGAAGGGUUUGACUGUUCGUCAAUUAAAAUGUUACGUGAGUUGGGUUAAAUACGAUGUGAAUCAGUAUGGUUCCUAUCUGCUGAAGGAAAUAUUAUCAAAUUAAAUCUCAUUAUUAGUACGCAAGGACCAUAAUGAAUCAACCCAUGGUGUAUCUAUUGAUAAUAAUAUAAUAUAUUUAAUAAAAAUAAUACUUUAUUAAUAUAUUAUCUAUAUUAGUUUAUAUUUUAAUUAUAUAUUAUCAUAGUAGAUAAGCUAAGUUGAUAAUAAAUAAAUAUUGAAUACAUAUUAAAUAUGAAGUUGUUUUAAUAAGAUAAUUAAUCUGAUAAUUUUAUACUAAAAUUAAUAAUUAUAGGUUUUAUAUAUUAUUUAUAAAUAAAUAUAUUAUAAUAAUAAUAAUAAUUAUUAUUAAUAAAAAAUAUUAAUUAUAAUAUUAAUAAAAUACUAAUUUAUCAGUUAUCUAUAUAAUAUCUAAUCUAUUAUUCUAUAUACU